rnacentral:rRNA from 1 species
GACGGAGGAUGCAAGCGUUAUCCGGAAUGAUUGGGCGUAAAGCGUCCGCAGGUGGCAGUUCAAGUCUGCUGUCAAAGACCGGGGCUUAACUUCGGAAAGGCAGUGGAAACUGAACAGCUAGAGUAUGGUAGGGGCAGAGGGAAUUCCUGGUGUAGCGGUGAAAUGCGUAGAGAUCAGGAAGAACAUCGGUGGCGAAGGCGCUCUGCUGGACCAUAACUGACACUCAGGGACGAAAGCCAGGGUAGCGAACGGG